UUCUGCAUUGUAAAAUGUCUGUUUUUCAUUUCAGUAUCCUGUGGUAAGUACACUAACUUUCUAUAAUUUCAUAUUGAAAUGUUUUGAUGACUUGUAUACUGCUAUGCAAUGCUUAAUGUUUUUUACAUUUCAGUUGCCUGCGGUAAGUACACUAACUUUCUUUAAUUUUCAUAUUGAACUGUUUUGAUGACUUGUAUUCUGCUAUACAAAAUGUGUUUUUAUCAGUUCAGUUGCCUGAUGGUAAGUACAAUUUGCUUCUUUAAAUUGCAUGUUGAAAUAUAUUUGAUGACUUUUGUUCUGCUAUGCUCUUUUUCAUUUCAGUUGGGCAGAUGUAAGUACACUUCAUUUAUGUAAAAACUGAAUAUGAUUGUUGUGCUAUACAAAAUGUGCUUUUCUCAAUUUCAGGUCAGCAAUGGUAAGUAGAUUGUGUUUCUUUAUGUAUAAUUUUGUAUACAAAUUGUUUUUUUCAUCAUAGCAUGUCUUUCAUAUUUAUGCUUUGUGUAAGUAAAAUGUUCAUAAAUCAUUCUUAUCUUAAAACUAAAAAUGUAUUGUGCUAUGCAAAAUGUCUGUAUGAUUUCAGUUGCCAGAGGUGAGUACCAUUACAGUUGAAAAGUUAGUUUUGUUUAGUUAAAGUUUUGGUUCACAGUUCUGUUUGUUAUUUGGCAAAAUUUACAUGUAUGCAUUGAGUCUUGAUUUCAGCUAGAUUGUGGACUGAAGAAGAUUGCCAGCAGAGGGAUUGGAUACAAAAUACAAAGUAAGUACUAAGUUUCUUACUAAAAGUUUUGAGUUGUAUUCAUUGUGUGUUAAUAUGCUAUGAUUGCUAUGAACAUGACUUUUGUAUUUCAGCGAAGACAACAUAGGUAAGUAAAAUUGUUAUCUGUUUCAUGUUUACUGUUACAGUUCAAUAUUGUGUUUAUAAAUUGUAAGUUGUACAAACACAUUCAAAAGUUUCUGAUCAUGCUUUCGAUUUCAUUUCAGCUUUACUGCUGGACGAGUGUUAUCAACUACUAGACGAGUCAGCUUUACUACCAGGCGAGCAGUGACAACAAGGCGCCUUUGUGGAAACAACACAACAAAAAACUCUACUGCAAGACGAGCAGUGACAGCAAGGCGCCUGAACAUGCAACACAAUACAAAAAAUGCCAAUUUGCAAACCUUGAUGUGGACACCGAGUAGUCAAUACAUACGUGUGGGGUACAGCUGCGACAAAACCGUGGGUCCAUCGCACCGAUAACUUGAACAUUGGCCCGCGUAUGGACAUCAGUGCAACUUUGUGAAUCCAUGUAACUUUGUGAAUCCAUGUAACAUUGCGAAUAUGUGUCGAUCGAAAAAUGUGAACAUUCCUCACUGAAACGAACUCGGUGUUGCAAGUGGCAAGUGUUGACAGUGUGUAUGUUUAUGUUUAUGUUUUUACAUGAAAAAUAAAGGAGAUUGUUCUCCUACCUUUUUUUUCCUUGUUUUAUUGUGCUGGCCAGCAAUAUUGAUGUAUUGAUGUAUGUGUUUGUGUUUAAACUAUGCAAUACCAAAAUCAAACAAAAAAUAAACAUUAACAGUCAUUAACUGUGUUUGGGCGGCCGAGGGGUUUAAGACUCCACAAGUGUGAAGCGCACUGAUAGCACUUGGGGGUAAACACCUCGGUAUUUCGGUGCUAAAAUGUUUUCACGGUGCUUAUUUUGACGCACUGUUAGAACUACCAACCAGUAAAUGAUUGCUUGAUUUAUAAAACAAAUAUUCAGUCUCUACUUUGGCACAAGAGACUCUAAGUAUCAAAUACCAACAAUUUAGACGCAGACAAUCACAUGGUGGUACACCAGUCCGAAUAUACUCAUUGCUCUAGCCAGGAUUGCAAAUUACUUGUGUUGACUAGCAAGGCUCCCUAGUAACGGAGCAGUGUUACUGGCGUUUUUUGGGUCGAUAGUGCUUAGGUGAGGUUUUGCUCGAAUCGGGAGCGGGUCACUCGCUUGGGCGAGUUAGUUUUCGCUCGUAGUUUCCAAUCUGGCUAGAUCACUGUAAGGUUGUUUUGACUGCUAUUUGGCAAGCAGAAAGACAACAGCGGUUAAUUGACUGAGUAUGGGCGACCGAGGUAUGUAGGUGUCAAUAGACCGACUCCACAAGUUGCGAAGCGAACCGAUAGCACUUGAGGGGAAACGCCUCGGUUUUCGGUUCUAACAUGUGUUAUCCAUGCUGUCGUUACACUCUGGCAAGGCUCCUCAAUCUAUCGCGAGGGACACUCAUAAUUGCCCGCAAGCUUUAGAAUCUGACGUGGGUCGAUGCGUAUGCGAGUCCGAGGACGCGAUGGCAUUUGAUAAGGCUACCAACCAGUUGA